rnacentral:rRNA from 1 species
AACGAACGCUGGCGGCAUGCCUAACACAUGCAAGUCGAACGAGACCUUCGGGUCUAGUGGCGCACGGGUGCGUAACGCGUGGGAACCUGCCCUUAGGUUCGGAAUAACUCCCCGAAAGGGGUGCUAAUACCGGAUAAUGCCUUCGGACCAAAGAUUUAUCGCCUUUGGAUGGGCCCGCGUUGGAUUAGCUAGUUGGUAGGGUAAAAGCCUACCAAGGCGACGAUCCAUAGCUGGUCUGAGAGGAUGAUCAGCCACACUGGGACUGAGACACGGCCCAGACUCCUACGGGAGGCAGCGGUGGGGAAUAUUGGACAAUGGGCGAAAGCCUGAUCCAGCAAUGCCGCGUGAGUGAUGAAGGCCUUAGGGUUGUAAAGCUCUUUUACCCGGGAUGAUAAUGACAGUACCGGGAGAAUAAGCUCCGGCUAACUCCGUG